rnacentral:rRNA from 1 species
AACGAACGCUGGCGGCGUGGAUAAGACAUGCAAGUCGAACGAUUACUAGUGGGUAGCAAUAUUCGCUAGUGAGAGUGGCGCAAGGGUGCGUAACACGUGGGUAAUUUGCCGUGAAGUCUGGGAUAACUUGCUGAAAGGCGAGCUAACACCGGAUGUGAUUACUGGAAGGCAUCUUCUGGUAAUUAAAGUCGGGGACCGUAAGGCCUGACGCUUCUCGAUAAGCCCGCGGCCUAUCAGCUAGUUGGUGAGGUAACGGCUCACCAAGGCUAAGACGGGUAGCUGGUCUGAGAGGACGACCAGCCACACUGGAACUGAGACACGGUCCAGACACCUACGGGUGGCAGCAGUCGAGAAUUUUUUCNCAAUGGGCGAAAGCCUGAAGGAGCGACGCCGCGUGGGGGAUGAAUGGCUUCGGCCCGUAAACCCCUGUCAUUUGCGAUCAAACCUCACGAGCUAACACGUCGUGAGCUGAUAGUAGCGGAGGAGGAAGGGACGGCUAA